rnacentral:lncRNA from 1 species
UGUCGGUCAAUCCUGCUAAUCCUGCUUGGGCUGCAAAAGCCUAAAGGCUAAGCCCACUCCGACAUGAGUCCAUAUAUUUUAAUAGGUUAAUAGCCUAGAUAUGUAGGCCAAUAAGUAAAUUCAACUAUACAACCAUAUACGACUCUUUGCCGGAUGACCGCACGCUUCUCUCGUUUUUGUCAAUUCAGCUUCUUGGUUCCGGUUGGUCGUCGCUUAUUCUCUUCCUUGCUGCUGCCGACUAAUGCCAGUAGCAUCUAGGCUGCUUCUGAUUUCAUAAAAUCAUGUGCGAUCUAGCUAAAUUAAUGGUGCAAACAAAUAAAGCAUAUUACUUUUCCAUUGGUCUAUCAACUUUUAAAACUAGUACUAAUAUUGCCGGUUGCCAUAACGUCAAUGGAAAAGAUGUUUUUAGCUAUGAAUGUUGUAAAGAAAAAGUUAACAAAUAAUAUGGGUGAUCAGUUCUCGAGUGAUUGCCUAAUAUGCUAUGUAGAUAUGUUUUCAACCAUUGGUAAUGAUGAGGUGAUUGAUCUUUUUCGCCUGAUUGGAUGCCUGUAUCUGGACGCGCAGGCUCGGGUGGCCUUGGCUAAUCCGAUACGGCAAUUUUCUACGUACAUGUGGAUGCAACCAAAUAGCUAAAUAACUUGUUUUGCAUCCGCUCAUGCAGCCUGCGUCUCCCUUGUGCAGGCAACCAAACAGGAGCUUAGAUAGAG